GGUUGUUGUUAUGUUUCUACCAGGUUGUUGUUGUUAUGAUUCUACCAGGUUGUUGUUGUUAUGAUUCUACCAGGUUGUUGUUGUUAUGAUUCUACCAGGUUGUUGUUAUGAUUCUACCAGGUUGUUGUUGUUAUGAUUCUACCAGGUUGUUGUUGUUAUGAUUCUACCAGGUUGUUGUUGUUAUGAUUCUACCAGGUUGUUGUUGUUGUG